rnacentral:rRNA from 1 species
ACCGUUAGCAACAGAAAGAAGCCCCGGGCUAACUCCGUGCCAGCAGCGCGGUAAUACGGAGGGUGCGAGCGUUAAUCGGAUUACUGGGCGUAAAGCGCACGCAGGCGGUCUGUUAAGCUAGAUGUGAAAGCCCGCGCUCAACGUGGGAGGGUCAUUUAGAACUGGCAGACUAGAGUCUUGGAGAGGGGAGUGGAAUUCCAGGUGUAGCGGUGAAAUGCGUAGAGAUCUGGAGGAACAUCAAUGGCGAAGGCAACUCCCUGGCCAAAGACUGACGCUCAUGUGCGAAAGUGUGGGUAGCGAACAGGAUUAGAUACCCUGGUAGUCCACACCGUAAACGCUGUCUACUAGCUGUUUGUGAAUUUAAUUCGUGAGUAGCGAAGCUAACGCGAUAAGUAGACCGCCUGGGGAGUACGGCCGCAAGGUUAAAACUCAAAUGAAUUGACGGGGGCCCGCACAAGCGGUGGAGCAUGUGGUUUAAUUCGAUGCAACGCGAAGAACCUUACCUACUCUUGACAUACUAGAAACUUUUCAGAGAUGAAUUGGUGCCUUCGGGAAUCUAGAUACAGGUGCUGCAUGGCUGUCGUCAGCUCGUGUCGUGAGAUGUUGGGUUAAGUCCCGCAACGAGCGCAACCCUUGUCCUUAGUUGCCAGCCUUAAGUUGGGCACUCUAAGGAGACUGCCGGUGACAAACCGGAGGAAGGUGGGGACGACGUCAAGUCAUCAUGGCCCUUACGAGUAGGGCUACACACGUGCUACAAUGGCGAGUACAAAGGGAUGCGAACCUGCGAAGGUAAGCGGACCCCUUAAAGCUCGUCGUAGUCCGGAUUGGAGUCUGCAACUCGACUCCAUGAAGUCGGAAUCGCUAGUAAUCGUUGGUCAGCAUACUACGGUGAAUACGUUCCCGGGCCUUGUACACACCGCCCGUCACACCAUGGGAGUGGGAUGCAAAAGAAGUAGGUAGCUUAACCUUCGGGAUGGCGCUUAC